GAUGAACGCUAGCUACAGGCUUAACACAUGCAAGUCGAGGGGAAACGAUGAGAGAGCUUGCUCUCUUAGUCGUCGACCGGCGCACGGGUGAGUAACGCGUAUCCGACCUGCCUCUGACCAAGGGAUAACCCGUCGAAAGUCGGACUAAUACCUUAUGCAGUCGUCGGAAGUCAUCUGAUGACGACGAAAGAUUUCAUCGGUGAGAGAUGGGGAUGCGUCUGAUUAGCUUGUUGGCGGGGUAACGGCCCACCAAGGCGACGAUCAGUAGGGGUUCUGAGAGGAAGGUCCCCCACAUUGGAACUGAGACACGGUCCAAACUCCUACGGGAGGCAGCAGUGAGGAAUAUUGGUCAAUGGGCGUAAGCCUGAACCAGCCAAGUAGCGUGCAGGAUGACGGCCCUAUGGGUUGUAAACUGCUUUUAUGCGGGGAUAAAGUGAGGGACGUGUCCUUCAUUGCAGGUACCGCAUGAAUAAGGACCGGCUAAUUCCGUG
rnacentral:rRNA from 1 species